rnacentral:lncRNA from 1 species
UCAUAAGAAUCUUACUUUUAUGACAUGUAGAGUUCAAUAGUGCAGUGGAACAAAACAGCUGAAGGCUCACAUACUAGUGGAAGUUAAAUGGUAAUUCAGCAAUGACCCCAGAGCUUCUGCUGCCCAGGAAGCAUUUAAUGGCAUUACCCAGGAAGUAUCAUGACACCAUACAAAGGGGCAUCUGUUUGUAACUCUAACCUCAACAAAGACACAAUUCUUCUUGCCAAAAAGAGUAGAAUAAACCCCUUCCCUUUGCCCCAGCAUGCCCCACACCACUGAACCGGCAGAGAAUGCUGAAUGCUUACAAUAGACACAAGGCUGUAGGGUCAACCAAACCAACAGGAGCCACGCCAGGGGUUAACAAGGAAAGCAGGAAGCCAACACUGUGCCGAGCAUAUUGGGGGGGAAGCAAAACCUUGAAGCCAUUGAUAGAAGCUGUAUCCAGUACAAUCGCUAUAGCCAAGAGUGAGAUAAUCUACCAACAGCUCAGAGUACAGAAAUGAGGAAGCAGCCAAUCUCAGAACAGACAGCCUGCGGAGAAGAAAAAAAAAAAAGUGGUCCUGGCUGCAGAACAGAGGAUCGUCAGAGCCAAGGCCAGGCAGGCCUGUUCUUACUUUAAUGGUGUGGAAUUGUGGUGAGACCUACGACUGAAUUCCAGCUUUGUCACUAUCCUGCUGUGACAUUGUGUGAUUUCCUGAACCCCUCUGAAGCUUAGAUUUUUUUUGUGUAUGAAACAAGUUGCCAAGAUUGCAAGAAUUAGGGAAACUGAAUGUAAAGUAGGCAUUCAAUAAAUGGCAGCUACUUUUAUUUUGAAGUGUGUAUUCAGUCAUUACAGAUGAACCCCUUGAUAGUUCCAGCAUAUCUUUUGUUCUGCAAAGUCUGGUGUCAGAUGAGGGUUCCUGCCUUACAGAUGACUUUUAAAUGGCUUAUUUGUGCCCAAAUGUGAUUCACCUGAUGAUGCUCUUAGUCCAUACUACUUACGUAUUUAUCUGUCUCUCCCACAUCUCCUGCCUUCUGUCCUCUCCAUACUGGAAGCCCUUUGGGGUUAGACCCAUGCCUCAUUGAUAUUUGUCCCCAGUGACCGUCAUAGUUUUUACACAUGGCAGGUACUCAAUAAAAUUUAACUCUACGUAGGCCUCUUUUUCAUCCCUUUGUGCCACACUGCCAUGCAUUUUUGGCUUGAAAAGUCAGAUCAUCAGAAAAAUGAAGUAUUUUAUGUGUGUGUGCACAUAUGGACAUGUUUAUAUGUGCAUAUGUAGUACCUGUGUGUAGUCUCAAACAUGCUAAGGAUUUGUGACGAAUACCUUUGCUAUUUAUUGACAGGAAUACCCACAAAUGGGACUUCUAAAAAUCUUUGUAUUUAUAAGCACUAAUAACAGUAAAAGUAUGUGAAGAGGACGCCCCUGCUGUUCUUCAAAAAUAAAAUCUAGUCACUUAAUCUGUGUAACUAUUUGUAUAUUUAUGUCUUGAGAAGUAUUUAAUACAAGAAAAUGUAAAAAGAUUAGGAUUCAAAACAGCAGGCAGGCCAUUACCCACUUGGGCCAGUGUGGACAUUGUGCCUCAUUUGCGAUUCAUGGUUGCUAAUUUUAGUCUUCAGGCUCACAUAUAGCAGUUUUAAAAUCCUGAAAAUUCCAUGAGCUCUUUCAUUAAAACCCAGCCUCGCCUGUGUGAUCUCACUGUUAAUUAUUUUUUAAUAAGUAGCUUCACUCCAGCAUCCUAGAACCUGUUUGAGCUGCCAACAUUAAAAGAGAAACUGCAGAAAGAGCAGCAAUAUCUCCCUGGAAUCGCAGAAUCCUCAAGCCUCUGAAAUGCAAGGGCUUUAGCAGUCUGCAGGCUCAUCUUCCCUCCUCCCCUGCCUCCCCUUGCUCCCACAUCUCUCCCGGGUUAUUUACAGGAGGUGCUGCAGUUCAGCCUCCAAAUUGGUGUUCCCAUUUGCUGAGCAUUGCCUGCAUCCAGGAUUUGGCAUGGGAAGUGGGGGGAGAGUCUAUGCUUAAGUCUCCUUGAAACCACAAGAAUUGAAGGGUCAAAACUAUUUUAGUAACCAAAAGCUGCGAAUGCCACUACUGCUACUGCCCUAGUGGGAGUUUAUCAUUUGGUUUCAUUUUAGUCAUAAUGUAACCCAGUUCAUUACGAAUCCCAGCUAUCCAAGGUCCCACCAUGCAUUCUUUGGGGCUUAUGAGUGAUGAUCCUGGGUCCCUGAAAUAAGAACAGUCUAUACGCAGCAUAUCUGUGGGGUGUCUGCAAAGUCUUGGGUAUCAUUCCUGUUAGAUGGUAAACAGAUGGCACAUGGGCUGAUUACCUAAAUGGACCAUCCUCAAAGGGCACUAGAGUCGUGGUCAAGAGUGUGGCCUCUAAAGUCAAGUUGGCUGGUUGACAUUCUAGCUUCAGCUCUUAUUAGCUGGGUGAUCUUGGACAUGUCACUUUUUGUGCUUCUGCUGCCCCUUGUGUAAAAUGGCAAUAAUAAUAAUAAUACUUGCCAUUGGAUUCUUGUGAGAAUUAA